GGAGAGAAAGAGAAAGAAAUCGGAGGAGAAAAUCUCGAGUUUAUCUAAUACACUUUGUAAAUCUGGAAAGAUCAAUUUUAGAUCUCCGAUUGAAGAAACCAUGUCUACAUCUGAAACACUAAUUCGUUUACUAUCGUUUGUACAUAGAAGUAAGUUUUUUCCCCUUCUUUUUUCUGCGUGAAAUUGCGACAUUUUAUGAAUUUGGUUUUAAAGUUUGGGAGAAGUUAUAAAAUGGGUCUUGAUGAUUCCAUCCAGUUCUAGAGAAAAAACUUAGGAUUUUGACAGGUUUGUUCUUCUAUUUUUAAGGGUUUUGUUUCUGCCAUUUCUCUGUGUAUCAUAUGAUUAAUUCUGGAGACAAUUUUUUCUCGGUACAUUAAUUUGAGUCUAUUGCAUGCGAUUGUUUGACGGUUGUGUGAUUGUUCAAUCUGAUUUUCAGAGAUUCCAAUUAGAUUUUCAUAACCCAGAGCAGUACAAGAGUUAGGCUUAGGAAAAAAUCUUUCAUCGAAGAACAGUGCCUGGUAAGAUUGAAUUGAUAAUCUUGAUUUGUGUUUGAUCCUGACAUGAUGAAUUUUGGUUUGUUUCUUUAUUGUAGGUUGUUCGGAAUGUAGCCUAUUUCGUGUAUUUCUGAGAAGGUUUUUGAUGUGCUUAGUAAAAUGAUGCAGUAGGGAUUCCCACUUGAUGUUAUCUUUCUUGCUAUCAUCUAAGGAAUCAAACAAGGUGUUCUCAAGUAUGAGAGUUCUUCAUUUUGAAGAAAAUAGCAGGAUUGAUGUUGUCCAGCUGGAAGUUUUUUUGCUUUGCUAUAAAAAUUGAAGUUAAGUGAAAAAGGAGUUAGGAAAAUGAAGAAAAAAUUCUCUCAUGAACAAGAUGUGAAAAACCUUGAAAAAUGCUUAGUUCAAUGAGAUUGGUUAGUUUCGAUGGAAACAUUUUCAUGAUUGAAAGUUGCAGACUUGCACUUGCAGCCGCUAAUUUUUAUCUUUUAAAUGUACGACUCAUGGUAUAAAUUCAAGCUGGACAUGGUAUUCAAGAUGUUUGAAGUGAAGACUUUCCAGUGGAUUAUAGAAAUCGCAGAGGUUGUUGGAUCUAAAAUUCCACCUCUCCUUCAAAUCAAUACAAACCAGUUUAAUUAGCUAUCAUUGGGCAUCUAAUCAUCUUUAAGGAAGAAAAUAAGGUUUAAAUGAUGGCGGCUCAAAUUAAAUACACGGCUAUGAAGUAUGUACAUUCGCACGUCGAUAUAUAGGAGUCGCACCAAAUCAGCUUUCUUAAUUGCAGGUGUGGAGACGGCAGAUUGAUAAUAUAGUUGAUGUGUUACAAGUAUUUGGGUUUACCUAGAAAACUAAGAAUCAGAUUGUGCACGGAUUGGGUUUGCUGGAAUUCAUCCUCCCAAUAGAUAAGUUAGGCAAAUUCAUCCCAAUACUUAAAUCGACCGCUCUCAUAACCAGUUCCAAAUACACUAGCACCUUCGAAAACCUACAAUCUUCCAAAUUGUUUGGCACAUAUCAGGAGCUACCAUAGGUGGUCUAAGGUGCCCGUUGAUGGUUGUAAAGCGCUGCUGCUUAAUCAGGCAAUACUACUUAUAGAGUUUUGAAUUCUGGUGGUUUAUGUGUAUGACGGCUUGCAUACAUUUAUGAACUAGGGAUUUGAUUUAGCUGGAUUGGGAAGCACGCUCAGCGGAUUUCUCUUACUGGAAGGUUUUGAAAUUUGGACUGGAGAAGGUCUAUGUAUUAUACUGAGUGCAUUCGCUACAAUAAAAAUUGUUUUCUUCAAAUACCAAGUAAAAGUGUAAGACCCAUGUUUCAAACUUUUU